AUGGCGACCGGCGCACGGGUGCGUAACGCGUAUGCAACCUACCUUUUACAGGGGCAUAACACUGAGAAAUUGGUACUAAUUCCCCAUAAUAUCUGAGACGGCAUCGUUUUGGUUGAAAACUCCAGUGGUAAAAGAUGGGCAUGCGUUGUAUUAGCUAGUUGGUGAGGUAACGGCUCACCAAGGCGACGAUACAUAGGGGGACUGAGAGGUUAACCCCCCACAUUGGUACUGAGACACGGACCAAACUCCUACGGAAGGCAGCAG
rnacentral:rRNA from 1 species